UACGUAGGGCGCGAGCGUUGUCCGGAAUUAUUGGGCGUAAAGAGCUCGUAGGCGGCUUGUCGCGUCGGUUGUGAAAGCCCGGGGCUUAACCCCGGGUCUGCAGUCGAUACGGGCAGGCUAGAGUUCGGUAGGGGAGAUCGGAAUUCCUGGUGUAGCGGUGAAAUGCGCAGAUAUCAGGAGGAACACCGGUGGCGAAGGCGGGUCUCUGGGCCGAUACUGACGCUGAGGAGCGAAAGCGUGGGGAGCGAACAGG
rnacentral:rRNA from 1 species